GCCAUCCACCAUGUAAGAAGUCCAACCACCCUGAGAUCGUCAUGCUUUGAGGAAGUCCUAGCUAUCCACAGGGAAAGAGUUUAAAAGUAGUGCUUCCAGGACAGAAACAGUGGCUUUGCGAUGUCAGCAAUAUCCCAGUUUCCUUCUGUCUUCCUGCUCCACCUCCCAUAGAACACAGCUGUCCUCCACAUCCCCACAGCCGGACUGCUCUGCCAGCAGCCUCGUCUCUAUGUCCCAGGCAGGGAGAAGGAAGGAGCAGGGAGAAGGAAGGAACAGGGAAGAGAAGGCGAUGCCGGUAUCAGGAAAGCAGCACUGUCCCUGAAGUCUCCCAGAAGACUUUUACUCAGGUCUCACUGGCCAGAAUGGACUCACAUUGCCAUUGAUAACUGCUGAAGAGGCUACAGUAAUUGUUCUAAGAAACUAAACUUUGGACCGGAAGCAGUACCUGUGUGGGGUUGACUCUGUAGGGGACAGUGAGAAAAUGGAUGCUGCAGAGCAACUGGGAGUACCUGCCUCGCUCCUCGCCUGUGACACAGGAUUAGGGUUGGGCCUGACCAGGUGGAGUUGAUGGAAUUAAGGGGAUGCAGGCAAUGUGCUGUUCUUAGUACCAAGGACAUAUAGGCAUUUGAUAAAAGCAAUCACCUUCCCACAUUUCCAGAUGUGGCAUUUGAUCUUAAACAUCCAAGAAUUUUCCCUGAAGGGCCAGAAAAUUAGUUGGCUCGAGGCAGUUGCCCCACUCUCUGUUUGCCAUGCUCCGGCAAUGGAUUCGCCUCUGGUGAUUAACGAGCCUCUCUCAAUCAUCUGUUCAACUGUUAAUAAAUCCAAACUGAAUUAUCACUGCGACUCUUCACUUACGACGUGUGACCCAGGGAGAACAGAGCUUGGAGAGACACGAAAAGCAAACGAGCUGUUUUCAUUGCUUUGUGGCUCCAGCGCUGCAUAUUUCAUUUCUGAUUCAUGGAAAAAUAUCCAGCACACGAGAGCCAGCUAUAUUGGUGCGAGGCGCCAGACCAGGGGGU